ACUAUUUUUUUCUAAUUAUUACUUUUAAAUAUAUAAAUUUUAUAAUGAAAAAACUAGUGUAGUUACAGUUUCCAUCUUUAUCUUCGCCUCUAAAACGAAGCUAACGUGUUCACUUCCUUUCCGAUUGGAAGUCUCCUAGUGGCAUUGUAUAACGUUAAUCGUAAUUCAACCACAACGUUAAGAUGUCAGGAGGUUUAGAAGUGUUAGCUCUCAAAGAGGACGAUGUAACCAAAAUGCUGGCUGCAUGCACUCAUUUAGGUGCAGAAAAUGUAAAUUUCCAGAUGGAACAGUAUGUGUAUAAAAAGAGAGUCGAUGGUGCAGGUGUUAAUGUUAUCAAUCUUCGUCACACAUGGGAAAAAUUAUUAUUGGCUGCACGUGCUGUGGUUGCUAUUGAGCAUCCUAGCGAAGUAUCUGUUAUCAGUUGUCGUCCAGCUGGACAAAGAGCAGUUUUGAAAUUCGCAGCUCAUACUGGUGCUACUCCUAUUGCUGGACGUUUUACGCCCGGUGCAUUCACUAAUCAAAUUCAGGCUGCUUUCCGGGAGCCACGUUUACUCAUCGUAACUGAUCCAGCUACUGAUCACCAACCUAUUACUGAAGCCAGCUAUGUGAACAUUCCUGUUAUUGCAUUUUGCAAUACUGAUUCGCCUUUACGUUUUGUCGACAUUGCUAUUCCCUGCAAUACUAAGAGUUUCCAUAGUGUUGGUCUUAUGUGGUGGCUUCUUGCCAGAGAAGUUUUACGACUAAGAGGUUCCAUCCCACGUGAAACCAAAUGGGAUGUUGUCGUUGAUUUAUUCUUUUAUAGAGAUCCCGAAGAGGCUGAGAAAGAAGAACAAGCAGCAAAAGAAAUUGCACCGGCUAAGGAAUUCGUGGCUCCUGUUGAAGCCACAACUACAGCAGAACCUGGUUGGGCUAAUGAAGUUGACGCUGAUGCUGUACCUGCUGAAAAUUGGGCAGAUGAAGUAGCAGCACCAGCACCAGCAGCAAUUCCUGCUGCUACUGCUGCACCAGCGUUCCAAACCGGUGGUGAUUGGGCGUCCCAAGCAACUGAGGAAUGGUCUACUACACCAUCUGCUACUGUUCAAAGUUGGGGAGGUGCAACCACUGAAAAAUGGAUACUGUUCUACAUGAACUCCCAUGGCCUGGUGAAUCAAACAACGAUGAUAUGGAUAAUCUGGAAUCAACUUGUAAUAACAUUCCUAAACAUAUAUCCUCGGAUUUAAUAACUCUACCUUUUAUAUGUGUUCUAUCAUUUAUUAUCCUAAUAAUUUUUGAAAAAUUUUUCAAGAACGAUAAUAAUCUUUAUGCUUCGGGUACUAACAUUUCCAUAUCUGAUUUAGACCUAACGAUCUGCCAAUGGUAUAUACAAACUCCAGGAUAACAGAUACUUUACAUUCCUGUGGUGAUACAUUUUUUUCCCAAGAAAUUCUUCAAUCAAGUAAUAGUCCUCUUCAAUCUAUGUGCAUAAAAUCACAGCGAUCGAAGAAUUUGAAUUUACCGGGCUCUUCGAUCGCAAAGGUACAUUCUGAACAUUUGCAUCAUUCUCAAAGCACGCAAACGAACUUACGGAUUUUAAAUAAAGCUGCUAAAUCAGAAGAAUGGGUUGUACGACGUACCAGAAGUGGUCAUAUUUAUGGAAAAUAUCCUGUAUAAAUGAUAAAAACGUUUUUCUAUUGUA